CCAACUAACCAGCUUUGUCUCUUCACAUACUUUACAAAACUCUAUAAUCUCAAGCUUCCAUGGCUUCUUUGAAAGCUGAGAAACCUGCAUUGGCUGCCCCACAAGCUGCACAGUCUAAGAAGGAGCCUAAAGCUACCCAGGCUGCACCCAAAGCUUCUGCCCCGAAAUCCAAUUCCGCCUCGAAGAAGGCAGCUCAAAAAUCUCAAGAUCUCCCUAAAAAGGGGAAAGGCGGCAAGUCUGGUGGAAAGCACUGAAUAAAAAGGGCUGAUUCUAUGGUUGCUUGCAUGAUGAGCUAGCAAAACCAAAUUACCAUGUUAUAUUAGUAUGCUUUUUAUCUUAUAUCUUUGUAUUUUCAUGCUCUUGUAUCCUUCUCCAUGUACGUUCACUUAAAUAAAAAUAUGCUGCUAUGAUAAUA